rnacentral:tRNA from 1 species
UAAAAAGUUAGUUAAAUAAUAAUAUUAGGUUGUCAGCCUUUCGUCACUAAUUAAACUUAGUACUUUUUAU